UACGGGGGGGGCAAGCGUUGUUCGGAAUUACUGGGCGUAAAGGGCGUGUAGGUGGCCAACUAAGUCCGACGUGAAAUCCCCAGGCUUAACCUGGGAACUGCGUCGGAUACUGGAUGGCUUGAAUCCGGGAGAGGGAUGCGGAAUUCCAGGUGUAGCGGUGAAAUGCGUAGAUAUCUGGAGGAACACCGGUGGCGAAGGCGGCAUCCUGGACCGGCAUUGACGCUGAGGAGCGAAAGCCAGGGGAGCAAACGGG
rnacentral:rRNA from 1 species